rnacentral:piRNA from 1 species
UUCAAAUUCGUGUAUUGUAAGUGAAGUGCA